rnacentral:lncRNA from 1 species
UUUGCUUAUUUUGCAGCUAGUGCUUUUGUCUUUAGUUCUCAAACAUUUUUGUGGGGUGAUGAAAAGCCUCUAGGCUCUGAGCCCUGAGCUCCCCCUGCCAAAGGUUAAGAAGACUGCACCAGAGCUGGCCACUGUUGGGUGUAGCAAAUUAGGUGUUUACUGACCUGUCUCCUCUGGGGGACUGGGGGACUUCAAGAAUCAGAGCCUGACUCUUCUCUGUGACCCUGGCAGCCAACAGCCAGCCAACGCAGAGCAGAGCUCAGGCAAUGUCCAUAGAAUGAAUAAAUUCAUGAAUUCCCCUAAAAAUCUUUCUUCUCUGUAAAUCUAAUAUAAUGCAACUCGAAUUUAUUUCUGUAUCUGUCAAUUGUGUGGCACCCCUCUAUAAAAUAUUUCCAUAAUCUAUGUCCGUUCUCUCCAAAGAUCUCUGCUCACAUCACACUGCUUAAGUGUCAGGAGCCUACCAUGCACCUUUGUGUUACCUCUCCUGAGCCUCACGACAACUUCAUAAAGUAGAUCCUAUUAUCGUGGGGCACCUGGGUGGCUCAGUGGUUGAGCAUCUGCCUUUGGCUCAGGGCAUGAUCUUGGGGUCCUGGGAUCAAGUCCCAUGUUGGGCUCCCCAUGGGGAGCCUGCUUCUCCCUCUGCCUGUGUCUCUGCCUCUCUCUGUGUCUCUCAUGAAUAAAUAAAUAAAAUCUCAUAAAUAAAUAAAUAAAUAAAUAAAUAAAUAAAUAAAUAAGAUUCUAUUAUUGCUAUUUAACAGACACUGAAACUGAGGCUCAGGAUAGGGAACCAGACUGCAAAUAAGGGGUCGCAGUGUGAAGAAGUGAACUAAGGGUUGUCCAGUUCCCUGUCCUCCAGCCCCCCUCAAUACCACUCUCCUGCUGCCCACAGGUCCCACUGCCAGCCCUCGCUCCUCGCCUGCUCCUUGUCUAUUCCUCUGCUUCUAGGUAAGACACAGACCUCGGCUGCACCCAAACAAUCUAUCUUGUCAGCAGUGGGGCUGUCUCAACACCAUGGCUCCACUGAAUCCCAUCAAUGCUUCCUGAGCACUUACCAUGUGCCAAACACUGAGCAGAGAAGCAGAGCUAAAAUAAAGAAUGCCAAGGUCUGGGGAAUCCCUGGAUGGCUCAGUGGUUUGGUGCCUGCCUUCGGCCCAGGGCGUGGUCCUGGAGACCUGGGAUCAAAUCCCACAUCAGACUCCCUGCCCGGAGCCUGCUUCUCCUUCUGCCUGUGUUGCUGCCUCUCUCUCUCUCUUUCUCUCUCUCUCUCUCUCUGUGUGUGUGUGUGUGUGUGUGUCUCAUGAAAGAAUAAAUAAAGGAUCUUAAAAAAAAAAUAGAAUGCCAAGGUCACCUGGCUGUGAGCUCCUGAAGGCCAGGGACCAAGCCCAGAGCAGAGAGACAGUGGGCCCUCCCCAGCUCAUCCUCUACUUUGAGGAUGUUGGAGAAUGUCACUUUCAUACACCUGCCACCUCUCAAGCCAGGCAGGGAACCCCUGUGCUGCCCCAUCUCUCUCCCAUGUUGAGUCCAUUCCCCUGGGUAGGACGGCCUCUGAGCUGGGGGCACCAGCCACCCUCCACCCCUGCACAGCAUUUGUCAAAGAAGCACAGAGAUAGGCCAGACCCACCUGCCACCCUCCUUCCAGGGCCCCUCGGUCAGAGGGUCAGCAUGUUCAUGAGAGGGUCCCAAAAUGACCCUCCUUGAAAUUCCCCAAAACUACAGUGCUUUUCAGUUGGCAAAACGCUCCACCUGCUUUCCUUCAGAUGAUCCUGUCCCCAGUCCACCUACAGGUAAGGAAUCAUCCAGGUCCACUUGGCUCCUGGAGGCAGAGUUCAGGCUGGGACCCAGGAGUCCCUCAGUACCCCAGAAAGGCCCCUCUCCUUCCCAAAACUCAGCUCCCCAUCUGUGCCCUAAAGGAGUUCAGCUGGACAACCUCUACGAUCCCUUCAGGCUCCAACCUACCCUGGCGAGGGAGGCUGGCCAUGUUAGAGAAGAGGAAACUAAAGCCCUGACCAGUGGUGCAUGGUGGCUGCGCAGCGUCCUGGAACUGCACUGUCAGGGAGAAAGAUGCCGUGGAAGCAGUACUGGCACAAGGAAGGCUUGGGGGCUGGGAAGCUCACCCCACCAAAACCAGCCAGGGGAUUCCUAAAAUCCACCCAAGCAGUUACAGGCUGCCAGGCUCAGAUUCAGACAGCCAAAUGGUACGCACGGUAUGCCUCUCAGCCCAGGGCUAGUGGAAGGGCCCAGACUUCCAGUAAUGAUGAUCAACACAGUAACUGUAGCAGCACACCCGGCGAUCUACUGCGGCGUCGGCCACUCUCUGCCCAUUCCCUUCUCUCCCCCACAAAGCUACCAGGUAAGUGGUAAUGACCCCAUUUUACAGAUGGGAACCCCUGGCUCUUGUUCUGCCCUAGGUCCCACAGGCAGGAUAAGGGCACCUUGCUCUGACCACCCCAAAGCCCUCACCCUUUGACUCACCCCAGAGCCCCAAUUCUGUCUGCCCCCCACGGUGGAGGCAUGUUGCAGCUCAGUGGCCUGGGAGGGCCUGGGGGGGGGGCCAGGGUCAGGGCACAGAGCCGAGAGACAGAUGACCCAGGCGCAGGCGAGUGCCUGCCGGGGGCCUCAGCCAGCACAUCUGCAAAACCAGGAAUUUGACCGAGAGCUUCGCCAAGGCCCUUCCUCAGGCUGUGCCACUCAGGAUGUCUCCAGGCCUGCAGACCUCACCAGCAGGCCACUGCCGACGCUGAUGCUGCAGAUGGGGGCUGUGUCCCUGUGGUGGCUGAAGUGCUCUAGUGACUCCCCACAUGCGGGCAGCUUAAGUUGCCUGUGGUCCCUUGGCAGGAAUGUGUCUGAGCUGGACCUGGAGCCAAGCCACAGACUCUGGGACGGAGGGGACAACUCAGAAGCCCAAGCUGGCACAUCACAGUGUGCCCAAGGGCCCUUCCUAAGGAAACAGCAAGGACCCCUAGGCGAAGGUGGGGACAGGUGAGGGGCACCCAGGAGAGCAGGCCCGUUGACCCGCCUCGACAGGCCCACAGCCUGGGCUGGGCUCCAGGCCUCAGGGGAGACAGUCACAUGGGGGCGGAGGGUGUAGCCAUCCUGGGAAAGAGGGAAGACAGAAGGAGGAGACCCUUGGUAAGGGAAUGACAGGAGGGGGUCCCCAUCCCAAGUGGGAACAGGGGUACAUCUGUGAUGAAAAGCAGACCUCCGAUCUUAGGGCCAUGGGCCCACCCGCCAGGGCGGGCUCCUAUUACCAGCCGGACCCUGAUGCCCUUCCUCUGACAUCUCUGCCUCAGGCCUCUCCCUGCGCCGCCCCCACCAGCAACUCUUUCUCUCUCUCUCUCUUGCAUUCCUCUGGGAGCUGAUCAGGGCUUGAAUGACACCCCAGAUGACUCUUUGCUAUUAAUUCCCACACACAGAAUGGGCCCCUUGUUCUCCUCUCCCGGAGGAAUAGCCGUGGCCAAAGCCAUCCCAAGAGUUCCUGACUUAACCCUUCUCCUGGCUGCUCCUCCACACGUCCCCACACCCAGGGCCACAGGGCCAGCAGGAGGUGGCAUGCAGAGAGGGAGACUGGGAAAAAACAGAGACUCCUCCAGUCCAGAGCUCCUGGAAUGAAAUCGCCAGGAUGGGACAGCAGGACCACCCAACCUUCCCAGGGAUCCUGUCCCUGGCUUCUCGCCUGAGGCUCUCAGCCUGGCCCUGGCGGCCAGAAGGCCUCACCACCCAAGUACGGGAGGCCCAGGGCUGAUAGCCUCGCCACGGCCAGCCUGAUGCCUCUGACCCCAGGGAGGACCCUUCAGGGGACAACUGGCAG